GACGAACGCUGGCGGCGUGCUUAACACAUGCAAGUCGAACGGAAAGGCCCUGCUUUUGUGGGGUGCUCGAGUGGCGAGCGGGUGAGUAACACGUGAGUAACCUGCCCUUGACUUUGGGAUAACUUCAGGAAACUGGGGCUAAUACCGGAUAGGAGCUCCUGCUGCAUGGUGGGGGUUGGAAAGUUUCGGCGGUUGGGGAUGGACUCGCGGCUUAUCAGCUUGUUGGUGGGGUAGUGGCUUACCAAGGCUUUGACGGGUAGCCGGCCUGAGAGGGUGACCGGCCACAUUGGGACUGAGAUACGGCCCAGACUCCUACGGGAGGCAGCAGCGGGGAAUAUUGCACAAUGGGCGGAAGCCUGAUGCAGCAACGCCGCGUGCGGGAUGACGGCCUUCGGGUUGUAAACCGCUUUCGCCUGUGACGAAGCGUGAGUGACGGUAAUGGGUAAAGAAGCACCGGCUAACUACGUG
rnacentral:rRNA from 1 species